UUCAGGGGUAAACCUGAGAAACCCGAAAGGUCGAAAGGGGAGAUUCAGCGCGUCUCGAUCGCGGCGCUGGACGAUCGUGCGACGGACGGCGUACGCGUCGUUCGCGCCUUUCGUUCUCCGAACCGCGGUCGAACGCGUGCACUUCUCCCCCUGUAGGACGUCGCGAUUCGUUGGGUGCCGGCCUAAGGCCCGAGGUGGAGUUCGUCCGGACGUUUCGGCGUUCGUGACGAACCCUCGGUGUUUCCCGGUCGGCUCGCUCGACGAUAGACAGAUGGCGCGGGGCCGCUACGUUCAGUUAGCGUUCGACCUUCGGCAAGCGCGCUCCUCGCGACGGUGAUCGGACCCGGUGCCGGUCCCGUCCCCGGGCGACUGUUGGCCGAGGUGUUCUCGAACAGACCUCGUCGAAACGCCGAUCUGCGACGCUAUAGCUUUGGGUACUUUCAGGACCCGUCUU
rnacentral:rRNA from 1 species